rnacentral:other from 1 species
AGCUUCCUGCAAUGGCAAAGUGCUGUAUUGCUGGGACCAACACCACAAGAAAGGGAGCUCAACUCCGGGCGCGGAAAGCAGGCCUCUUCGUCGAGGAAGCUUGAACCGCUCGGGAGGCACCCACCGUGACUAAGCUGGGUUCCAGUUAAUCUCACUUUGCCAUUGCAGGAUCUUU